UAAAAUAUGUAAAACACAUUCUAAUAAAAUAUUAUGUAGAUAUUAUCCAAAAAUUACAGCUAUGUCACUGUUUAAUUGAAACAUAGUGAAAAUGUUAUCAAAUGCUAUCCGGUUCAAUCUAAUUUUAUGGUUAUAUAUAUAUAGUUACGUAAAAAUAAAAUAUAAUCUUUCACAUCAACUGCUAUCCUGAAUACAAUAUAAUUCUUCGCAAUUGGUUAAUGCUCCGUUGUUAAGCAACCACGUAAAAUUUUACGCAAGCACGUAUUAUCCAAAAAUUACAGCUAUGUCACUGUUUAAUUGAAAAAUAGUGAAAAUGUUAUCAAAUGCUAUCCGGUUCAAUCUAAUUUUAUGGUUAUAUAUUUAUAGUUACGUAAUAAUAAAAGGGUAAUUAUCUCAAAUAGACAUUUUUAAUUUUUUGUUUCAAAAUAGCACUCAAAAAAUAAAAUGACCAAAAUAGCACAUUUUUGUUUUGAAAAUUUUAAUAUUUAUUUUUUAUUUUUUAAAAUUUGAAACUAUAUCUCCAAAACUCCACC
rnacentral:lncRNA from 1 species